GGGUUGUGAGGUUAAGCGACUAAGCGUACACGGUGGAUGCCCUGGCAGUCAGAGGCGAUGAAGGACGUGCUAAUCUGCGAAAAGCGUCGGUAAGGUGAUAUGAACCGUUAUAGCCGGCGAUGUCCGAAUGGGGAAACCCAGUGCAAUUCGUUGCACUAUCGUUUGAUGAAUACAUAGUCAAACGAGGCGAACCGGGGGAACUGAAACAUCUAAGUACCCCGAGGAAAAGAAAUCAACCGAGAUUCCCCCAGUAGCGGCGAGCGAACGGGGAGCAGCCCGGAGUCUGAAUCAGCUUGUGUGUUAGUGGAAGCGUCUGGAAAGUCGCAGGGUACAGGGUGAUACUCCCGUACACUAAAACGCACAGGCUGUGAACUCGAAGAGUAGGGCGGGACACGUGGUAUCCUGUCUGAAUAUGGGGGGACCAUCCUCCAAGGCUAAAUACUCCUGACUGACCGAUAGUGAACCAGUACCGUGAGGGAAAGGCGAAAAGAACCCCGGCGAGGGGAGUGAAAAAGAACCUGAAACCGUGUACGUACAAGCAGUAGGAGCCUCUUUAUGGGGUGACUGCGUACCUUUUGUAUAAUGGGUCAGCGACUUAUAUUCUGUAGCAAGGUUAACCGUAUAGGGGAGCCGCAGGGAAACCGAGUCUUAACUGGGCGUUAAGUUGCAGGGUAUAGACCCGAAACCCGGUGAUCUAGCCAUGGGCAGGUUGAAGGUUGGGUAACACUAACUGGAGGACCGAACCGACUAAUGUUGAAAAAUUAGCGGAUGACUUGUGGCUGGGGGUGAAAGGCCAAUCAAACCGGGAGAUAGCUGGUUCUCCCCGAAAGCUAUUUAGGUAGCGCCUCGUGAACUCAUCUUCGGGGGUAGAGCACUGUUUCGGCUAGGGGGUCAUCCCGACUUACCAACCCGAUGCAAACUACGAAUACCGAAGAAUGUUAUCACGGGAGACACACGGCGGGUGCUAACGUCCGUCGUGAAGAGGGAAACAACCCAGACCGCCAGCUAAGGUCCCAAAGUCAUGGUUAAGUGGGAAACGAUGUGGGAAGGCCCAGACAGCCAGGAUGUUGGCUUAGAAGCAGCCAUCAUUUAAAGAAAGCGUAAUAGCUCACUGGUCGAGUCGGCCUGCGCGGAAGAUGUAACGGGGCUAAACCAUGCACCGAAGCUGCGGCAGCGACACUAUGUGUUGUUGGGUAGGGGAGCGUUCUGUAAGCCGUUGAAGGUGGCCUGUGAGGGUUGCUGGAGGUAUCAGAAGUGCGAAUGCUGACAUAAGUAACGAUAAUGCGGGUGAAAAACCCGCACGCCGGAAGACCAAGGGUUCCUGUCCAACGUUAAUCGGGGCAGGGUGAGUCGACCCCUAAGGCGAGGCCGAAAGGCGUAGUCGAUGGGAAACAGGUUAAUAUUCCUGUACUCGGUGUUACUGCGAAGGGGGGACGGAGAAGGCUAUGUUGGCCGGGCGACGGUUGUCCCGGUUUAAGCAUGUAGGCGGAUGUUCCAGGUAAAUCCGGAACGUUACUAACGCUGAGGUGUGAUGACGAGGCACUACGGUGCUGAAGUGACAAAUGCCCUGCUUCCAGGAAAAGCCUCUAAGCAUCAGGUAACAUCAAAUCGUACCCCAAACCGACACAGGUGGUCAGGUAGAGAAUACCAAGGCGCUUGAGAGAACUCGGGUGAAGGAACUAGGCAAAAUGGUGCCGUAACUUCGGGAGAAGGCACGCUGAUAGGUAGGUGAAGUGGUUUACCCAUGGAGCUGAAAUCAGUCGAAGAUACCAGCUGGCUGCAACUGUUUAUUAAAAACACAGCACUGUGCAAACACGAAAGUGGACGUAUACGGUGUGACGCCUGCCCGGUGCCGGAAGGUUAAUUGAUGGGGUUAUCCGUAAGGAGAAGCUCUUGAUCGAAGCCCCGGUAAACGGCGGCCGUAACUAUAACGGUCCUAAGGUAGCGAAAUUCCUUGUCGGGUAAGUUCCGACCUGCACGAAUGGCGUAAUGAUGGCCAGGCUGUCUCCACCCGAGACUCAGUGAAAUUGAACUCGCUGUGAAGAUGCAGUGUACCCGCGGCAAGACGGAAAGACCCCGUGAACCUUUACUAUAGCUUGACACUGAACACUGGUCCUUGAUGUGUAGGAUAGGUGGGAGGCUUUGAAGUGUGGACGCCAGUCUGCAUGGAGCCAUCCUUGAAAUACCACCCUUUAAUGGCUGGUGUUCUAACGUGGGCCCCUAAUCGGGGUUGCGGACAGUGUCUGGUGGGUAGUUUGACUGGGGCGGUCUCCUCCUAAAGAGUAACGGAGGAGCACGAAGGUCAGCUAAUCCUGGUCGGACAUCAGGAGGUUAGUGCAAUGGCAUAAGCUGGCUUGACUGCGAGCGUGACGGCGCGAGCAGGUGCGAAAGCAGGUCAUAGUGAUCCGGUGGUUCUGAAUGGAAGGGCCAUCGCUCAACGGAUAAAAGGUACUCCGGGGAUAACAGGCUGAUACCGCCCAAGAGUUCAUAUCGACGGCGGUGUUUGGCACCUCGAUGUCGGCUCAUCACAUCCUGGGGCUGAAGUAGGUCCCAAGGGUAUGGCUGUUCGCCAUUUAAAGUGGUACGCGAGCUGGGUUUAGAACGUCGUGAGACAGUUCGGUCCCUAUCUGCCGUGGGCGCUGGAGAAUUGAGGGGGGCUGCUCCUAGUACGAGAGGACCGGAGUGGACGCAUCACUGGUGUUCGGGUUGUCAUGCCAAUGGCAUUGCCCGGUAGCUAAAUGCGGAAGAGAUAAGUGCUGAAAGCAUCUAAGCACGAAACUUGCCCCGAGAUGAGUUCUCCCUGACUCCUUGAGAGUCCUGAAGGAACGUUGAAGACGACGACGUUGAUAGGCCGGGUGUGUAAGCGCAGCGAUGCGUUGAGCUAACCGGUACUAAUGAACCGUGAGGCUUAACCUUACAACGCCGAAG
rnacentral:rRNA from 1 species